UGCUCUCUGCCCCUCUUAAG
rnacentral:miRNA from 1 species